GCUGCUUGCGGUGGGAAGGGGCGGGGUUUAGCCCUGAGUGAUGGGUGUGGCAGCAAAUGGGCCAUGGAUGUAAAGGUUAAGAGGGCGCUGGGAGGUGUCCAGAGCCGCCUGGGGAGGAUGAAGCCUGGCCUGAAACAACGUGUACCAGAUCUGCAGCUGGUGGGCUGAAAAGAUGGAGAUUGGAAAACAUCCUUGUCCUGGGAAUAUUGUACAGCAAAAGGAGGGGAAAAAACAAAUCCAGAGAACACAGGAUUCACCACUUCUGCAGAGAGACCAAAUUAAUCUCAUUUUUAAGCUUUUGAGUAGAAUAAACUGUUCAGACCAAAGCAGAAAGCGUGAAAUAACAUUUGAGGAUGAAAGUGGAACCAGAGGAAGGGGAGGAAGAAAAAAAAACCAAACCAAAACUCCAAAGCCAGGUGGCCGCUUGCUGCGAACACUUUUAUUUAUUAAUAAACACACCGCACUCCAAACAUUUGGCCGCUUGACAGAAUCCUCAAAAGCCUUGGAAAGGGAUCAAAGUUGUGCUGCUGUGCCUGCCACAGCUCGGGGAAUAACGGUGCCUUUAAGGACAGCGGUGGAAAACUCCCUCCCGUGCCAGCAGGACGUGGGAUUGUCCCCUGAGGGUGGCGUUGGGGACACUUCGGUGCUGCUGUCUGAGGUGCUGAAGCUGCAGAUCCCCCACCACGGCCUGGAGGAGCUGCAAAAGCAGCUGGAAAACCAAACUGGUGGUCACUGGUGCUGUGUUUAAACUGGAGGUUGAAAUUCUCUUUGUGCCAACACAGAGCAGAAGCAUUUGAAUUUCGUGAUAAUUUUUGGGAGCUCUGGGGGCCACUUGGAAGCUUUUGGGGAUAAAAUGGAUCCACACCCAGGCUACAGAGCUCCCAAAAUGGGUUUUUUUUGGUGUUUUGUGCAAGUUUUCUCCCUCAAAUCCGUGCUGCUGCAGAGGGAAGGCGCCGUGACUCACUGGGCUCGACUGCUGGGCAGGCAAUGUGGGAUUUAAAAAGGCAAAACCUGGCACAAUUCCCUGAGAAUGGGGCUGAGCUCCCCCUUUCCCUGCAGCUCCGAGGCUGGAAUUCGAACAGGAAUUCGAACAGGAAUUCGAACAGGAAUUCGAACAGGAAUUCGAACAGGAAUUCGAACAGGAAUUCAAACAGGAAUUCCACAGGAAGAGCAGAAUCGGGCUAAAUCCACAUGGAAAAAAGAAUUCUGAGCGAGUUUUUCCAGUGCAGCUGGGCCAUUUCUCCUGAGUGACCACGAGAGGGACACAGAAGGAAAGCAAAGGAGCUGGGGAAGAAAGAAUCCAAGGAACAGCUCGAGCUGUUUUCUCCCCUAUUUAUGGAAUUUGGGCCACCAGCAGAGGAAGACAGGGAUUGGCACCUCGGGACCAGGGUGGUUCUUUCAACUUGGAGCAAAAAAACCCCAAAGGAAAUGACCUGAUUUGUCAAUAAAGUGGUUUUGGGCUGGGCCCGGUCUCCACAGGGACCUGGAGCAUGGGAGGUCUGAGGUAAAAACAGGGAAAAAUCCCAUUUUUCUGUAAAUAUCCCAAAUUCCUGCUGUUCCCACAUUUUAAAGACUGAGCUUCUGUUUCCUGGGGCUUUCCUGAGCCUCCCCGGGGGGGUUUGUGCUGAAUUUCCUGGCCAGACUCUGGGAAUGUUCCAGCAGGGAUUUGAACCUCCUCAAAACAAAAAAAAAUAAAAGAGAAAAAGAGAAAAAAAAGAGGAAAAAAAAGAGGAAAAAAAGAGAAAAAAAAGAGAAAAAAAGAGGAAAAAAGGAGAAAAAAGAUAUAAAAGAGGAAAAAAGUGGAAAAAGAGAAAAAAGGGAAAAAAGAGGAAAAAAGGGAAAAAAGAGGAAAAAAAAGAGAUAAAAGAGGAAAAAAGUGGAAAAAAAGAGAAAAAAUGGAAAAAAGAGGAAAAAAAGAGAAAAAAGAGGAAAAGAGAAAAGAGAAAAAAGAGAAAAAAG